UACGUAGGGUGCAAGCGUUAAUCGGAAUUACUGGGCGUAAAGCGUGCGCAGGCGGUGAUGUAAGACCGAUGUGAAAUCCCCGGGCUUAACCUGGGAACUGCAUUCGAGACUGCAUGGCUAGGAUGCGGAAGAGGGAAGCGGAAUUUCCGGUGUAGCGGUGAAAUGCGUAGAUAUCGGAAGGAACACCAGUGGCGAAAGCGGCUUCCUGGUCCAGCAUCGACGUUCAGGCACGAAAGCGUGGGGAGCAAACAGG
rnacentral:rRNA from 1 species